rnacentral:rRNA from 1 species
AUGAGGCAGUCGCAAGCUCUCUCGCUUCUCGUCCUCCUCCUGCUCGUCGCCUCGUCCAGCGCUUCCAUUCUAGAAGAUGCGUGCAGGAGCUUGGGCAACCCUUACUACUACAACACCUGCAUCAAGUUCUUCAAGGCCGACAAGGAGAGCGCCUUGGCGAACAAGCGCGGCCUCGCCGCCAUCGCCACUGGAAUCGCCAAAAAGACGGCCGUGGUCACCCUCAAGCGCAUCGCCACCGUGAAGGCCGUGGACAAGGACCCGAAGAUCCAGGCGAUCCUUGUCUUCUGCGACCAUUUUUACUCCAUAGCCGUGGGCCUGUUCGAUGAGGCAGCCAAAUGCAUCUGGUCGAACAAGGUGGGCGACGCAGUGACAAGCCUCGGCUCCGCGUGGAACGUCCCCCGGAGCUGCGAGGACGAGUUCCGCAAGGCAGGAGUGAAGUCGCCGUUGCAUGCCGAGAAUUCCGAGUUCGAGAUGGAGUGCAUCAUCACUAUGGGUGUAACGGAGCGGCUGCGUGUUGUGUAG